GUGGUCUAUCUAUCUAACAUGCUAUAGCCUGGCGGCCCUUGGCUGCUGUCUACUGCUGGCACUUAUCUGGGCCAGGUGUCGUUUCCAUGUCUCGAAUUCCGAGUUGUUUGAACUGUUUAGCCAGUCUCUGUUGCAGCUGUUCCUGGCGUAAUUGUCUGCUCAAUUGGUGCUGUAAUAACUUUUAAUUAUGGAUCGUACGACAUUAAGUGUGCUGCUG
rnacentral:lncRNA from 1 species